rnacentral:rRNA from 1 species
CAGUCGCCGCGGUAAUACAGAGGGUGCGAGCGUUAAUCGGAUUUACUGGGCGUAAAGCGUGCGUAGGCGGCUUUUUAAGUCGGAUGUGAAAUCCCUGAGCUUAACUUAGGAAUUGCAUUCGAUACUGGGAAGCUAGAGUAUGGGAGAGGAUGGUAGAAUUCCAGGUGUAGCGGUGAAAUGCGUAGAGAUCUGGAGGAAUACCGAUGGCGAAGGCAGCCAUCUGGCCUAAUACUGACGCUGAGAUACGAAAGCAUGGGGAGCAAACAGGAUUAGAUACCCCGGUAGUCCCUGUCUCUUAUAC